UCUACGGGGGGCAGCAGUGGGGAAUAUUGGACAAUGGGCGAAAGCCUGAUCCAGCCAUGCCGCGUGUGUGAAGAAGGCCUUCGGGUUGUAAAGCACUUUCAGUGGGGAAGAAAGCCUUGGGGCUAAUACCCUCGAGGAAGGACAUCACCCACAGAAGAAGCACCGGCUAACUCCGUGCCAGCAGCCGCGGUAAUACGGAGGGUGCGAGCGUUAAUCGGAAUUACUGGGCGUAAAGCGCGCGUAGGCGGUCUGAUAAGCCGGUUGUGAAAGCCCCGGGCUCAACCUGGGAACGGCAUCCGGAACUGUCAGGCUAGAGUGCAGGAGAGGAAGGUAGAAUUCCCGGUGUAGCGGUGAAAUGCGUAGAGAUCGGGAGGAAUACCAGUGGCGAAGGCGGCCUUCUGGACUGGCACUGACGCUGAGGUGCGAAAGCGUGGGUAGCAAACAGGAUUAGAUACCCCGGUAGUC
rnacentral:rRNA from 1 species